rnacentral:rRNA from 1 species
AUUGAACGCUGGCGGCAUGCCUUACACAUGCAAGUCGAACGGCAGCGGACCUUCGGGUGCCGGCGAGUGGCGAACGGGUGAGUAAAGUAUCGGAACGUACCUUUCAGUGGGGGAUAACGUAGCGAAAGUUACGCUAAUACCGCAUAUUCUGUGAGCAGGAAAGCAGGGGAUCGCAAGACCUUGCGCUGAUUGAGCGGCCGAUAUCAGAUUAGCUAGUUGGUGAGGUAAAGGCUCACCAAGGCGACGAUCUGUAGCGGGUCUGAGAGGAUGAUCCGCCACACUGGAACUGAGACACGGUCCAGACCCCUACGGGAGGCAGCAGUGGGGGAUUUUGGACAAUGGGGGCAACCCUGAUCCAGCCAUGCCGCGUGAGUGAAGAAGGCCUUCGGGUUGUAAAGCUCUUUCGGCCGGGAAGAAAUCGCGCCAGUUAAUACCUGGUGUGGAUGACGGUACCGGAAUAAGAAGCACCGGCUAACUACGUGCCAGCAGCCGCGGUAACAC